rnacentral:lncRNA from 1 species
GAAUGCAGAGUGCUAUAAGCAAAACGUAUUUGAUUCAAUUCAAAAUAACGAAUUGAAAACAAGUUGAAUCAUAAUUUUUUUUUAUUUUUUUGACGCGGUUUCGAAACUUUGACGCUAAGAAAAUGUGAAUAUGUACAUGAUGACUACAUGUCCACCUUUCCCUCUCAAGGCGACGGUCCACAACAAUUUGGCAGACUUCCAAUUUCCAUUUCUAUCACUGUAUGGCUCUUUUUUCUUUUGGCAGCCACUAAUAUUACUUUUCUUUUGGGGGUCCAAACCAGUUAUAUCACUAUAUGCUAAUCUACACAUUUUAUAUGAUUUUCACUAAUAUCCAAAUUCAGAUUAAUUUGAAAGACACCAAAAAUCGUUUAUGGUGUGAAAAUGAUGCAUUACCAAUAACAAGGAUGAUU